rnacentral:lncRNA from 1 species
GCAGGAGAGAGAAGGGAGCUGACCGGAGCUGCAGGAAGGCAAGUUACAGCUCUCUGCCAGCCCCCAACAGGGCUCAUUACAAGCCCGGCGGUCCUGGUCUGUAUUAUGGCAAUGUAAGUUGCCAAAAUACAUACAUUGACUCGAGUAUAAGUCGAGUGGGGGUUUUUCAGCACAAAAAAUGUGCUGAAAAACUCGACUUAUACUCGAGUAUUUACGGUAUGUGUGUAUAUAUUUAAAUGUAAUAUUUUUAAAAAAUUAAGUAAUUUUAUUAAAGGACCACUAUAGUGCCCUGAGGGUGCCCCCACCCUCAGGGUCCCACUCCCGCCGGGCUGAAUGGAGAGGAAGUGGGUUAAAAACUCACCUUUCUCCAGCACCGGGCUUUCUCGGCGCUUGGAACUCUCCUCCUCCUUUGGCCAUCAUAGACUGAAUGCACAUGUUCCAUAAGAGCCGCGCGUGCAUUCAGCCAGUCCAAAGGAAAGCAUUCUCAAUGCUUUCCUAUGGACACUGGCGUCUUCUCACUGUAAAAAUCACAGUGAGAAGUGCAGAAGCACCUCUAGCGGCUGUCAAUGAGACACACUAGAGGCUGGAUUAACCCUAAAGUAAACAUAGCAGUUUCUCUGAAACUGCUAUGUUUACAGCAGGCAGGGUUAAUCCUAGGUGGACUUGACACCCAGACCACUUUAUUGAGCUGAAGUGGUCUGGUUGCCUAUAGAGGUACUUUAAUUGCGAUUUGAGGGACCUGCCUCACAACCCAGGCCAAAAGUCCAGAGAAUUUAAUUUGCUAGCACUAUAUUCAACCCUGUCACUUUCCAUGAAAUUGUUAUUGAAAGUGAAGGUUUUUUUUUGUUUGUUUGUUUUCAUUCUUCACACAGAACGGCACUUUCACUGAUGAUAUCAUUGUGAUACGUUUUACAACACCAAUAUUUGUGUUAUUUGUGUUCAGCGAACUCUCCUGAGUAUAACCAUUCCCCUUGUGUACAGGUUUUAUAGUGUUUUUGAAAGUUACAGGGUCAAAUAUAAGGCUUGCUUUUCUGUUUUUUUACAUUGAAAUUUGCCGAUUGGUUAUAUUGCCUUUGCGAGCAUAUGGUAGCCCAGGAAUGAGAGUUAGCGCCAUGAUGGCAUACCAUUUGCAAAAGAAGACAACCCAAGGUAUUGCAAAUGGGGGUAUGUUCAGUCUUUUUAGUAGCCACUUAGUCACAAACACUGGCCAAAGUUAGCGUUCAUAAUUUAUUUUGCAUUUUUAACACACAAACAAAUAUAAAUGCUAACUUUGGCCAGAGUUUGUGACUACUGAAAAAGACUGGACUUACCCCAUAUUGAAUACCCUGGGUUGUCUACUUUGAAAAAAUAUGUACAUGUGAGGUGUGAUUCAGAGAUUUAUGACAGAUAAGUGUCACUAUUGAUAAAUUUGUACUUAUAGUCCUAUAAGUUGCUAAAGAAAGCUAAGAACAUAUUUAACAUUUUUAUAAACUCAGGACAAAAUUUAGAAACUAUUUAGAAUGUGUGUUUCUUGGCGGUUGUAGAUGCGUGACAGAUUUUGGGGGGUCAGAGUUAGAAAAAGUGGAUUUUUUUUUUUAAUUUAAUUCUUUUAUCAUAUAUAUGUGGGUACAGUAAAUGAGUAAGAGGAAAAUUACAGCUAAACACCACAGAAAUAUAAAGACAGCCCUGGUCCUUAAUGAUCAGAAAAUUAAAAUUCUGUCUGGUCACUAAGGGGUUAUACAAAUGGUAUUUCAGCCUGAGGUACUGCAACCAGGCUAAUUCAGUAUGGCAGAUUUUUCUAUAUAUUUACAAUUAUACUUAUGACUUAUAAUAUUGUUUGGAUCGACCAUUUAUACUACCUUUAGUAAGUGCAGUAACCAUUGCAAGUAUUUUUCUAUUUCGUAAUUUUCAAUCUUUCCACUUUAACCCCUUAAUGCCGUUAUGGUGUUCCAUGCCAUCCCCAUUUAAAUGGGCUUUAAAGCCGCUGCGGCGGCAUAAAACGCCGUAACAGCUUUCAGCCCCAGGAGGUGAAAUGUACUUACCUCCGCCGCGAUCCUCUUCAGGAGUUGUACUCGUGAGACUUUGCUGAAUCCAAAUAUAUGUGCUUGUUUUGCAGUAAAAGCGAACAGUACUAUGAAGUUUACAGCUAAAAUGUGAGGCGGAACUACAAAUUUAUUUAUUUUAAAUUUCUCAUUUUUUUUAUUUAAAUUUUAUUCAUAAUAAAUUAUGUUUAAUAUAUAAAUAUUUGAUAUGAAAUGAAAGCCCUGUUUCUCCUGAACAAACUGAUAUAUAAGUGUGGGUGCACUUAAUAUGAAAGAGGUGAAUUACGGUUGAACAGACAUUCGGCGCAAAUUCCAGUUUUUGUUUACAUUUUGUUUUGAUCAGAACGUGUACUAUUGACUCCGUCCUGAAGGGAUUAAAGCUUGAUUCAAACAGCCUUAACUUGUUAUUGUUUACAGCUUCUCAGCUAGAUUUUUGUUGUUGUUUUUUUUACACCAAUCUGAACUAUUUUCUUAUUAAUAUAACUUAAUAUUAAUAAUAAAACUUAUUCAUACAAGUCCACUAAAGCUAUGGAAACCUGUAUGUGCAUUUGUGAACAUUAUAAAAUAGUUCCAGAUCAAUUUUACAAAUUUCCAUUUAAGAUAAAAAUGGCUGCUAAAUGCAUGCAUUUAACACUGUACUUUAAAAAAAA